CCCUAGCCCAGAUGGAAGGGAAAAUCCUUUUCUUUUUUUUCUUUAAAAAAAGAAAAGAUUGGAAUGACAGCUGGAAAUAGC
rnacentral:sRNA from 26 species